rnacentral:tRNA from 1 species
GCCAGGGUGGUUCAGUUGGUUGAGCGUCUGAUUUCGGCUCAGGUCACGAUCUCACGGUUCGUGGGUUCAAGCCCCAUAUCAGGCU